UACGUAGGUGGCGAGCGUUGUCCGGAUUUAUUGGGUUUAAAGGGUGCGUAGGCGGCUUUGUAAGUCAGUGGUGAAAUACUCCAGCUUAACUGGAGGGGUGCCAUUGAUACUGCGGAGCUUGAGUACAGAUGAGGUAGGCGGAAUUGACGGUGUAGCGGUGAAAUGCAUAGAUAUCGUCAAGAACACCGAUAGCGAAGGCAGCUUACUGGGCUGUAACUGACGCUGAUGCACGAAAGUGUGGGGAUCGAACAGG
rnacentral:rRNA from 1 species